GAUCCUGGCUCAGAACGAACGCUGGCGGCAUGCCUAACACAUGCAAGUCGAACGAGACCUUCGGGUCUAGUGGCGCACGGGUGCGUAACGCGUGGGAACCUGCCUUUAGGUUCGGAAUAACUCAGAGAAAUUUGAGCUAAUACCGGAUAAUGUCUUCGGACCAAAGAUUUAUCGCCUUUAGAUGGGCCCGCGUUGGAUUAGCUAGUUGGUGGGGUAAAGGCCUACCAAGGCGACGAUCCAUAGCUGGUCUGAGAGGAUGAUCAGCCACACUGGGACUGAGACACGGCCCAGACUCCUACGGGAGGCAGCAGUGGGGAAUAUUGGACAAUGGGCGAAAGCCUGAUCCAGCAAUGCCGCGUGAGUGAUGAAGGCCUUAGGGUUGUAAAGCUCUUUUACCCGAGAUGAUAAUGACAGUAUCGGGAGAAUAAGCUCCGGCUAACUCCGUG
rnacentral:rRNA from 1 species